rnacentral:rRNA from 1 species
AACGAACGCUGGCGGCAUGCCUAACACAUGCAAGUCGAACGAGACCUUCGGGUCUAGUGGCGCACGGGUGCGUAACGCGUGGGAACCUGCCCUUAGGUUCGGAAUAACUCCCCGAAAGGGGUGCUAAUACCGGAUAAUGUCUUCGGACCAAAGAUUUAUCGCCUUUGGAUGGGCCCGCGUUGGAUUAGCUAGUUGGUAGGGUAAAAGCCUACCAAGGCGACGAUCCAUAGCUGGUCUGAGAGGAUGAUCAGUCACACUGGGACUGAGACACGGCCCAGACUCCUCCGGGGGGCAGCAGUGGGGAAUUUUGGACAAUGGGCGAAAGCCUGAUCCAGCAAUGCCGGGUGAGGUAUGAAGGCCUUAGGUUUGUAAAGCUCUUUUCCCCGGGAUGAUAAUGACAGUACCGGGAGAAUAAGCCCCGGCUAACCCCGG